GUGAAGGGUACUCUUCGCUGAUUACCAAGUGUCAUGAGAAAUCCACUGAUCAACAGUGGGCGAACAAAGGAAGCCUCAGCCUCCUGACUCUCAUGUAGGAGAAUCCCAAGCAAAUGGCAAAGGGUAAAGUGAGGGCUAUGUAAAAGAUAUGAAAAUGAGCGAAGUGAAGUACCUAUUAGUCAUGAUAGUGGGAGAACCCAAUGCGAAACCUUCAGACAAAUUUGGACUGCCGAAAAAGUACUGUUUCGCCAUCAAAUUUCCUUCGGUAAAGAACAAUUUGUCCAAGCCAAAUAAAUGUUUCUACAGAAUAAUCUCCCAGUCUAAAGAAGCUUAGUGCUGUAGCUUUCUAGUAUUGAAUGAGGUUUUAUAUCCGUUAAUUUUAGUUGUGCAACUGUAAGGAAACAUGCUUGAGAUCGAACGACGCCAUGUUUCGCAGCUCUUGAAGGAGAUGUCUCUUGCUUCUCCGCCUGCCUACGGCGAUAGACAUAUUGUGAUGGUUACACAUAUUGUCACGGUGUAUUGCGCAUACACCUCAGGCGCAAGUGGUGGAGACUCUGCGCAAGUUCCUGACGCUGAACGCCGGGACCAUCGUCGUCUGCUGUGGUGGCCAUGUGGCGGGCGCCCACUUUCUAUCCCGCAAUAUUCGUGUGGAGGGGGUUCACAACGCCGACGAGGAACGGUCCGUGCGCAAUCGAGCAUUCCUGCAGCCUGCCAUCUUCUACAUAGCACUGGCCAUGUUGAAGGCAGUCAUCUUGUAUCAAAUCUACAUAUUCUACCAGGACUGCAAGAUGAACCCUCCGACGCAGGGAGCUAUCUUCGUUUUGAACCCAUUUACAAAAUAUCCAGCUGUGAUUGUUCCCGGCAUUCCGGCGGCGCCUGCCCAGGUCCAAAUGGCACCUUCUCCGAGUCGGCCAUCGUAAAUUUUAUGCAUAGCGUCGAUGCCUUAG